rnacentral:rRNA from 1 species
UACGUAGGGACCAAGCGUUGUCCGGAAUCAUUGGGCGUAAAGAGCGUGUAGGCGGCUUGUUAAGUCUUGCGUGAAAUCUCGAGGCUCAACCCCGAGCGGUCGUGAGAAACUGGCAGGCUAGAGUGCGGGAGAGGAGAGUGGAAUUCCUGGUGUAGCGGUGAAAUGCGCAGAUAUCAGGAAGAACACCCGUGGCGAAGGCGGCUCUCUGGAACGCAACUGACGCUGAGACGCGAAAGCGUGGGGAGCAAACAGG